CGGAAGCUUUGCUUGUUGUCGUGUUAUUUUGAAAUCAACUGUUGUUUUUGAAAACGCGCCCUAAAGCUAUCCAAUUUCAACAGUUAAAAUAAGUAUUACCUAUCUUAGUAAUACAUAUUAAAAACCAUCAAAAAUAAAUAAGCUGCCUUAUUACAUUUAAAAGCCCAAAACCUCAAACGUAAUUAAAAGGAUGACAAGUUCACCAGAAGAAAAUCAAACUUUCAGAACGGGUGGCCACUCCGAAUUCCCUCACAGCUCCAAGCCCACUAUGGUUGGGGAUUACCUGCGUGGAUGAAAAUAAAAGGGAUAAGUUUGGGGAAACUCAGUGUAUAAAAUAACCCAACCAUAGUCUAAAUCAGCUCAACCCACAGAAACAGAAUAAGUUGGCCUUAGCCCAGAACAGAAUUCAGAAUAAAGCCCAUAUGCCCAUAACAGAACAGAACAGAUAUUACAUGUUUAUGCAGAAACCCAACCAUAUCCAACCGUAUACACCCCCGUACCAACCUUACACCGUGUGGGGAGACAACUCGACUCACCCAACCGCUACACACCACAGAAUUUGCAGCAUGGCUGCCAGAACAGAUAAUGUGACAGAGUCACCAGAUACAGAUAAUCGUGGCAGAGCCACCAGAACAGAUAUAUGUGGCAGAGCCACCAGAUCAGAUAUUUGUGGCAUAGCCACCAGAACGGUUCCUCCAUAAUAUAACCCAUGUCCCCAUGCAACAAAUACAUAAUCAUGGCAUCCAUCAUACAGAAUCAGAUCGCUAUGCUUUUCAGUCAAAAUUAACCCUACGGGUAUAACAGUAAUUUUGCACCCAGGGGUAUAACAGUAAUUUUCCAUACAUAGGGGUAUUAUAGUAAUUUAGCUACUUUCAGGGUUUUCAUGCAUAUCCUAACUAUUUACGUACUAUCAGAACACUUACCGCGCAUACUUACCGAAUUGGGCCCGUUGGCCCAUGAACCCGAUCUUUGGCCCAUUAAGCCCAAAUUAUCAAAAUGUACGAAAUCGCGCGUACUGCAGUUUAUUACUUUAGAUUACCAAAUAUACAAACCCAACUAUUUUACGAGCAUUCGCACACUCGUAAAUUCCCAAAAUACUGACUUUUCGGCAUUUCGGCUUUUGUCAAUCUAGUCUAUGAGAGGGUGUCAGUUACACACUUGUUUGCGACGAUAUGCUGACGAGAUCCACACACGAACCGCCUACAAUUGGAUUACUAAAACGUUAAUCUAACUAUUCAAAUACAAACUACGUAUUAAACCCUUACAAUAUUCGGUCAACCACACCUACAGAUCAUAGUAAGCUUAUAAGAAAUCAAUAAGCAACUCAUUAACAAAUUUUUGUCAAUGUUUACCACAUAAUCAUAAUUUCACUGCAAGCUGUCUUUCUGAGCAACAGUCACUAAAUCAUUUAUAACUAGAGCUAAGAAACUCCAAAUCAAGUGCUGUUAAUUUUCCCUGAAAAUAGACUCAUAUAUCUUCUAUCCUUUAAAUUUUCAAAAUUUUUGGUUUGGCCAAUCAAUACCAGAUAUUUCUUAAAGUUUCCUAUGUUUCACUGUUUGACUAAUCUGACCACUCUUCAUUACGAAUCAAAUUUCUCAUUGUACAGAAUUAAAAAUAUGUUCUCGUUUAUUUCAUUUGAAACUAGACUCAACAAACUUUAAUUACAUAAUUUAUUCACCUUCUAACUCAUCUCCCAGAAUUUAUGGUGAUUUUCCAAAGUCACACUACUGCUGCUGUCCCAAGCAGAUUUAUUACCAAAUCACUCUUUCACACAUAACUUGCAUGCAUGUUAUUUAAACAUGUAUAUCACCAAUCAAUCAUCACAUAUCUAUGAUUUUACUUAAGUAUAAUCUCCAUUUCAUCAUUUUAAAGCACAACAUGUUAGCUGAUUUUUCCCUUUAACAUCUAAGGCACAUGCAUGCUCAUUUGUUUGGCUCAACUUCACCUAUCUUCCAUUUUUCAUCAAAAGAACAUGAAACAACAACCAUUUCCUUCAUUUUAAUUCAUGACUAAAUGCUCACAACACAACUAAAAAUCAAAAUAUACUUCAAGAGUUAAGGUAGAAUCAAGAAGAACUCAUGAACCUCAAAAUAGAAGUAAGGUACCAAGAACUUACCUUCAAUUUUCCUCCUCCUAAUGACCGAAUACUCAAGAGCUUUCUCCUCUCCUUUCUCUUCUCUAACUUUCAGCUAUGAUGAACAAAGAUGGACAAAACUUUAUUCUUUUCACCCCUUUUUCUUUUAAUAAAACUUCAUAUUUCAUCCAUUUAAUUCUUUAAUACAAAAGACAUGAAAUUCUUAUCAUGAAACAUUUACCUAACCCAUUAUCAUGAAACAUUUACCUAACCCAUUAUCAUGUAACAUUUACCUAACCUAUUAUCAUGGAACAUUUACCUAACCUAUUAUCAAUUUGUAUCAAUUUGUCUACAACAACAUGAUGGUUGGCCACUUCAUGUAAAAUGGGAGGUUUGUCAUGCAAAUCCUCCUAUUUUGCACUCCUAUUUAUUUGGCCACUUCAAUUUAGCCUAUAGCAUUUUCAAACAUUUUCACAUAGGUCCUAUUUCAUAAUUUCACUCCCUUUUUCUUAUGGAACAAAAAUUAACUAAAAUUACCGGGUUCUAUCUUAAGCUUGGGCCAUCUAGAGGCCCACUAACAUAAUUAAACCUAUGCCAACAUUCACAGGAUUCCCGAAAAUUGGGGCGUUACAACUCUACCCUCCUUAAAGAAAUUUCGUCCUCGAAAUUUACCUAAUCCAAACAGAUGAGGGUAUUGCUGUUGCAUCGUCUCUUCUGGCUCCCAAACUCAGAAGUUUCCCCUUCCUUAACUUGUUGAAAACGAGCGACCAAAGACUCAUCGUUCAACUGUUUUUCCUUAAUCUGAUCCACCAGGUUGGCCUCACUUGCAACUCAGCCAAUAGACUUCCAUCAUCAUACAGACUCAGACGAGCAAACAUUGCUCUCAGAUCAGAUACAGCUCUCCGACUUAGAGCAUCGGCUACCACAUUAGCCUUGCUUGGGUGAUACUCGAUCGAACAGUCAUAAUCCUUAAGCAACUCAAUCCAUCUCCUUUGCCUAAGGUUCAGCUCCUUCUGAGUCAACAAAUACUUAAGACUCUUAUGGUCAGUGUAUAUAAUACACCUUUCUCCGUACAAGUAAUGUAUCCAAAUCCUAAGUGCAAAUAUCACUGCUGCCAACUCUAAAUCAUGAGUCAAAUAGUUUCCUUCAUGGGGCUUAAGCUGUCGUGAUGCAUAUGCAACCACCUUACCCUCUUGCAUUAACACGUAGCCCAAACCCACGUGUGAUGCGUCACUAUACACACUAAAAUCCUUCCCAGACUCCGGCUGAAUCAACACAGGUGCUUUAGUCAGAACUUUCUUCAACUUCUCAAAAGCUUCCUGCUGCUUCUCAGUCUAUACAAACGGUACUCCUUUUCUUAUGAAUUUUGUCAGAGGUGCUGCCAUCACAGAAAAACCUUCUACAAACCUUCUGUAGUAUCCUGCCAGUCCUAGGAAACUUAGUAUUUCCGACACCGUCCUAGGUGGCUUCCAUUCCAAAAUUGCUUCAACCUUUCGAGGGUCCACCUUAAUCCCUUCGGCAGAGACCACAUGUCCUAAGAAGGUUACCUCCCUCAACCAAAAUUCACACUUGCUGAACUUCACAAAGAGUUCCUUCUCCCUUAAUACUUACAGCACUAUACGGAGAUGCUCAUCAUGUUUCGUUUCAGUUUUAGAAUAUACCAGGAUAUCGUCAAUAAAGACGACUACGAACUGAUCCAAAAAUGGUUGGAAUACACGAUUCAUCAGAUCCAUAAACGCUGUAGGAGCAUUCGUUAGUCCAAAUGGCAUAACCAGAAACUCGUAAUGACCAUACUGAGUCCUGAAUGUCAUCUUUUGGAUAUUUGCCUCCUUGACCCUUAACUGAUGAUAUCCAGAUCGAAGGUCGAUCUUGGAAAAUACAGAAGCUCCUCUAAGCUGGUCGAACAGAUCAUCAAUCCUUGGCAGCGGAUACUUAUUCUUAAUCGUCAGUUUGUUCAACUGGCGAUAAUUAAUGCACAUUCGCAUCGUACCAUCCUUCUUUUUCAUGAAUAGCACCGGUGCUCCCCAUGAAGACACGCUUGGCCUAAUAAAGCCCCUAUCCAACAACUCUUGAAUUUGAGCAUUUAACUCUACUAACUCCUUCGUGCCAUCCUAUACGGUGCGAUGGACACAGGCGCCGUUCCAGGCAACAAAUCUAUUCCAAACUCAACUUCUCGGUUCGGAGGUAAUCCUGGAAGCUCCUCCAGAAAAACAUCUUGGAGCUCUUUUACGGUCCUAACCUUAUCCACUGUCAGUCCCUCCUCUUCCGACUGACUUACAAAUGCCAAAUAGGCCUCACAACCUUUCCGAAUCCACGUCUCGACUCUUAAUACCGAUACCACAUUGAACAAAUAAUCCCUUCGCUCACCUAUCACCAUAACCUCCUCAUCCUUUGUGGUCCUUAACACCAUUCGUUUGACAGCACAAUCCAGAGUCACUUUAUGCUUAACAAGCCAGUCCAUUCCCAGAAUGAGAUCAAACUCUCCGAACGGUAACUCCAUCAGAUCUCCAGGGAAAAUCUUAUCUUGAGUUUCUAAGGGUACAUCCCUAUACAGUUUGUCUACCCUAACGGAGUGACUCAAAUGACUUAGUACAGAUAACCUACUCACAAUCUCCUCAGAGCAGUCCAAGUUGUCCAUAAUCCAUUCUGUGGCCUCCAACCAAUAUACUGCCACAUUCGGGACUAUACCAGACGCACCCCUAAAGAUCUCCGCUCCGUUGGCCCGGAGUCGUUCAGAAAUCGAUCCUCAAAUUUCGUUGCCCGAACUUGUCCCGGUAACCCUUUCCUAAACACGAAGCAUUGCCUGUGACAGGGCAUCAUCCUCGACAUCGCGGUCAUGAGACUCUACCUCUGUUGCCAGUGGUACCGGUGCAUCCACCGUCGGCAUAUGUCUCGAAGACGAAGAUCUCGCUCGAGCACUUCCUCGACUCCGUCCACGGCCUCUUGUACUCAUAUCGUAUUAUCUUGAUUACGAAUUUUUAUGCAUCAAUAAAUAUUCAAGUGUUUAUUACAGAUGUUUUAUGAAUCAGACAGUAGUUUAGAGUUUGUUUUCACAGAAUCGAAGUCUAGCUACAGUUUCAGUCUCUUAUCAGAUUUUCCUAUGGUUUCAGUAUCAUCCUAUCUAGAGUAUCCUAGAAGGAUUUUAGUACAGACAGAUAAUUCAGGAGAAUAUUCAGAAAAGUUCAGAGUAAUACUUACAGGCUUGGGCCGGAGAUUCGGAAUGCCACCUUCUAAAGAUCUAAAUUUUAAAAAUCGCGUUUUUCGCAAUCUUUAUAAUUUUUUUUGAAAAUCUUUGUUUUUUUUUGUAAACCCAUUCCACAGCCGAUUUGUUACAACCUAGGCUCUGAUACCACUAAAUGUAGCACCCCAAACCCAGCCCAGAAGUUAUGGCCGGAUUCGGCAUGCCACAUCAAAAACGUAAAAAAAAAUUUCAUUCUAAGUCCAGAAAAUCGUACUUGAUGUUCAAAAGAUUAAUUUCAUUAUAGGUUAAAGUGAAUGGAAGCUGUGCACCAGGUAGGAAACCAGAAAAGAGGUGGUGAGUCCAUCGGACUGCUUAAGUACCAAGCUCCAUUCGGAUCCAAUCCUAGACAUGCAUACUACAAUUGCCACACCUUAACGUCAUGGAUAUUUCUAGGAAACCGAUUUGAUUAAGUCAUUUUUAAGAAAAGUGAUUAAUUUUGGAAAAUACUUUCAUUGCGGAAGCUUUGCUUGUUGUCGUAUUAUUUUGAAAUCAACUGUUGUUUUUGAAAACGCGCCCUAAAGCUAUCCAAUUUCAACAGUUAAAAUAAGUAUUACCUAUCUUAGUAAUACAUAUUAAAAACCAUCAAAAAUAAAUAAGCGGCAUUAUUACAUUUAAAAGCCCAAAACCUCAAACGUAAUUAAAAGGAUGUCCAGUUCACCAGAAGAAAAUCAAACUUUCAGAACGGGUGGCCACUCCGAAUUCCCUCACAGCUCCAAGCCCACUAUGGUUGGGGAUUACCUGCGUGGAUGAAAAUAAAAGGGAUGAGUUUGGGGAAACUCAGUGUAUAAAAUAACCCAACCAUAGUCUAAAUCAGCUCAACCCACAGAAACAGAAUAAGUUAGCCUUAGCCCAGAACAGAAUUCAGAAUAAAGCCCAUAGGCCCAUAACAGAACAGAACAGAUAUUACAUGUUUAUGUAGAAACCCAACCAUAUCCAACCGUAUACACCCCCGUACCAACCUUACACCAUGUGGGGAGACAACUCGACCCACCCAACCGCUACACACCACAGAAUUUUCAGCAUGGGUGCCAGAACAGAUAAUGUGACAAAGUCACCAAAUACAAAUAAUCGUGGCAGAGCCACCAGAAUAGAUAUAUGUGGCAGAGCCACCAGAUCAGAUAUUUGUGGCAUAGCCACCAGAACGGUUCCUCCAUAAUAUAACCCAUGUCCCCAUGCAAUAAAUAUAUAAUCAUGGCAUCCAUCAUACAGAAUCAGAUCGCUAUGCUUUUCAGUCAAAAUUAACCCUACGGGUAUAACGGUAAUUUUACACCCAGGGGUAUAACAGUAAUUUUCCAUACAUAGGGGUAUUAUAGUAAUUUAGCUACUUUCAGGGUUUUCAUGCAUAUCCUAACUAUUUACGUACUAUCAGAACACUUACCGCGCAUACUUACCGAAUUGGGCCCGUUGGCCCAUGAACCCGAUCUUUGGCCCAUUAAGCCUAAAUUAUCAAAAUGUACGAAAUCGCGCGUACUGCAGUUUAUUACUUUAGAUUACCAAAUAUACAAACCCAACUAUUUUACGAGCAUUCGCACACUCGCAAAUUCCCAAAAUACCGACUUUUCAGCAUUUCGGCUUUUCGGCUUUUGCCAAUCUAGUCUAUGAGAGGGUGUCAGUUACACACCUGUUUGCGACGAUAUGCUGACGAGAUCCACACACGAACCGCCUACAAUUGGAUUACUAACACAUUAAUCUAACUAUUCAAAUACAAACUACGUAUUAAACCCUUACAAUAUUCGGUCAACCACACCUACAGAUCAUAGUAAGCUUAUAAGAAAUCAAUAAGCAACUCAUUAACAAAUUUUUGUCAAUAUUUACCACAUCAUCAUAAUUUCACUGCAAGCUGUCUUUUUGAGCAACAGUCACUAAAUCAUUUAUAACUGGAGCUACGAAACUCCAAAUCAAGUGCCGUUAAUUUUUCCUGAAAAUAGACUCAUAUAUCUUAUAUCCAUAAAAUUUUUAGAAUUUUUGGUUUGUCCAAUCAAUACCAGAUAUUUCUUAAAGUUUCCCGUGUUUCACUGUUUGACUAAUCUGAACACUCUUCAUUACGAAUCAAAUUUCUCAUUGUACAGAAUUCAAAAUAUGUUCUCGUUUAUUUCAUUUGAAACUAGACUCAACAAGCUUUAAUUACAUAAUUUAUUCACCUUCUAACUCAUCUCUCAAAAUUUAUGGUGAUUUUCCAAAGUCACGUUACUGCUGCUGUCCCAAGUAGAUUUAUUACCAAAUCACUCUUUCACACAUAACUUGCAUGCAUGUUAUUUAAACAUGUAUAUCACCAAUCAAUCAUCACAUAUCUAUGAUUUUACUUAAGUAUAAUCUCCAUUUCAUCAUUUUAAAGCACAACAUGUUAGCUGAUUUUUCCCUUUAACAUCUAAGGCACAUGCAUGCUCAUUUGUUUGUCUCAACUUCACCUAUCUUCCAUUUUUCAUCAAAAGAACAUGAAACAACAACCAUUUCCUUCAUUUUAAUUCAUGACUAAAUGCUCGCAACACAACUAAAAAUCAAAAUAUACUUCAAGAGUUAAGGUAGAAUCAAGAAGAACUCAUGAACCUCAAAAUAGAAGUAAGGUACCAAGAACUUGCCUUCAAUUUUCCUCCUCCUAAUGACCGAAUACUCAAGAGCUUUCUCCUCUCCUUUCUCUUCUCUAACUUUCAGCUAUGAUGAACAAAGAUGGACAAAACUUUGUUCUUUUCACCCCUUUUUCUUUUAAUAAAACUUCAUAUUUCAUCC
rnacentral:lncRNA from 1 species